UCCGAUAUGGUCUAGCGGUUAGGAUUCCUGGCUUUCACCCAGGCGGCCCGGGUUCGACUCCCGGUAUCGGAA
rfam:Lottia gigantea unplaced genomic scaffold LOTGIsca_581, whole genome shotgun sequence.